UUAGCACACUGUUGAGGAGCGAGUCGAGUCUCCGGGGAGCGAGUAGAGAACAGACGCCCUGCUGGUGCUGCAUGUGAAAUCACCUCCAUUCUGCUGUGAAUCUGGGUGUCAGGCAGACAGACAACACAGAGAGAGAGAGAGAGCUCUUACACAUACCCAGAAGAAGAGAGUAGGUCAGACGUCUCCCUAAACAAGUGUCGCACAGAAUAACAUUCCACACGUCUGGAGUAAAGGAACCGGUCCUGAUGAGAGUCGGCGUGCUGUCCGCGGGAUGCUCGGAGGAUCACCGGCGAC